rnacentral:tRNA from 1 species
CUUAGAAUAGUUUAAUAUUAAAAUAUUAACUUUGGGGGUUAAGGAUCUCUUUUUGUUUUAUGG